GACGAACGCUGGCGGCGUGCUUAACACAUGCAAGUCGAACGGAAAGGCCCUGCUUUUGUGGGGUGCUCGAGUGGCGAACGGGUGAGUAACACGUGAGUAACCUGCCCUUGACUUUGGGAUAACUUCAGGAAACUGGGGCUAAUACCGGAUAGGAGCUCCUGCUGCAUGGUGGGGGUUGGAAAGUUUCGGCGGUUGGGGAUGGACUCGCGGCUUAUCAGCUUGUUGGUGGGGUAGUGGCUUACCAAGGCUUUGACGGGUAGCCGGCCUGAGAGGGUGACCGGCCAAAUUGGGACUGAGAUCGGGCCAGGACUCCAACGGGAGGCAGCGGGGGGAAAUAUUGCACAAUGGGCGGAAGCCUGAUGCAGCAACGCCGGGGGCGGGAGGACGGCCUUCGGGUUGUAAACCGCUUUCGCCUGUGACGAAGCGUGAGUGACGGUAAUGGGUAAAGAAGCACCGGCUAACUACGUG
rnacentral:rRNA from 1 species